UGAAUUAGCCGAGAAUCGAACCCGGGCCGCUCACGUGGAAGGCGAGCAUUCUACCACUGAACCACC
rnacentral:tRNA from 1 species